UGAGUACGAGCUGCUACGGCAGCGAAGUGGGUGAUGUCAAGCUUCCAAGAAAAGCCCUAUACCCGUUAAGGCAUGAUGGCCUGUACCCGAAACCGACACAGGUGGGGUGGUAGAGAAUACCGAGGGGCGCGAGAUAACUCUCUCUAAGGAAUUCGGCAAAAUGGCCCCGUAACUUCGGGAGAAGGGGUGCCACCGCAAGGUGGUCGCAGUGAAGAGGCCCAGGCGACUGUUUACCAAAAACACAGGUCUCCGCUAAGUCGCAAGACGAUGUAUGGGGGCUGACGCCUGCCCAGUGCCGGAAGGUUAAGGCCGCUGGUCAGCCAAAGCGAAGCUAGCGACUGAAGCCCCGGUGAACGGCGGCCGUAACGAUAACGGUCCUAAGGUAGCGAAAUUCCUUGUCGGGUAGGUUCCGACCCGCACGAAAGGCGUAACGAUCUGGGCGCUGUCUCGGAGAGAGGCUCGGCGAAAUAGAAUUGUCUGUGAAGAUGCGGACUACGUGCACCCGGACAGAAAGACCCUAUGAAGCUUUACUGUAGCUUGGUAUAGUGCUCGGGCUCGGAAUGCGCAGGAUAGGUGGGAGGCUAUGAACCAUUGCUUGUGGGUGAUGGUGAGCCACUGGUGAGAUACCACUCUUUCCGAGCUAGAGUUCUAACAGCCACCCGUUAUCCGGGGGCUGGACAGUAUCAGGUGGGCAGUUUGACUGGGGCGGUCGCCUCCUAAAAGGUAACGGAGGCGCGCAAAGGUUUGCUCAGGCUGGUUGGAAAUCAGCCGACGAGUGUAAAAGCAGAAGCAAGCUUGACUGUGAGACCUACAAGUCGAACAGGGAGGAAACUCGGCUUUAGUGAUCCGACGGUUCUGCGUGGAAGGGCCGUCGCUCAACGGAUAAAAGUUACUCUAGGAUAACAGGCUGAUCUCCCCCAAGAGUUCACAUCGACGGGGAGGUUUGGCACCUCGAUGUCGGCUCAUCGCAACCUGGGGCUGAAGUCGGUCCCAAGGGUUGGGCUGUUCGCCCAUUAAAGCGGUACGCGAGCUGGGUUCAGAACGUCGUGAGACAGUUCGGUCCAUAUCCGGUGCAUGCGCAGGAAUAUUGAUUGGAUUUCUCCCUAGUACGAGAGGACCGGGAGGAACGCACCUCUGGUGUACCAGUUAUCGUGCCAACGGUAAACGCUGGGUAGCCAUGUGCGGAGAGGAUAACCGCUGAAAGCAUCUAAGUGGGAAGCCCACCUCAAGAUGAGUAUUCCCAUGGGGUAACCCAGUAAGGUCACGGGAAGAACACCCGUUGAUAGGCUCUACGUGGAAGCGCAGUAAUGUGUGAAGCGGAGGAGUACUAAUAGACCGAGGGCUUGACC
rnacentral:rRNA from 1 species